rnacentral:lncRNA from 1 species
CUUCUUUCUCCUUCCUUCUUUCUUUCCUUCCUUCCUUUCUUGAGACGGAACAACAUUGUUUCUUUUUUUUUUUUUUUUUGGAGACGGAGUCUUGCUCUGUCACCCAGCCUGGAGUACAGUGGCACAAUCUCGGCUCACUGCAACCUCUGCCUCUCGGGUUCAAGCGAUUCUCCUGCCUUAGCCUCUUGAGUAGCUGGAAUUACAGUUGUCCGCAACAACGCCAGGCUAAUUUUUAUAAUUUUAGUAGAGAAGGGAUUUCACCAUGUUAGCCAGGCUGGUCUCGAACUCCUGACCUCGGGUGAUUCGCCCGCCUGGGCCACCAAAGUGCUGCAAUUAAAGGUGUGAGGCACCGCGCUGGGCUCUAAGUGUUUCUUAUAACCCCCAAAACUUAAAAACAUAAUACUUUUCAUUCUAUAUUAGCACUUUCUUUGGCUUAUGAAUAAUUCAUUCAUAUUUAGGGUAUACUUUUCCAAUACAACAAAAUGCUAAACCUGUUUAAGUACUUUUCUCUCAGAAAGUUACUCUAUAUUAGACCACACUUUAAAUAAAUGUCCUCUAAUGUGAUAGUUUAAAUUCAAAUCUAUAAAGCCAUUUAUAAACAGAGAACUCAUAAAAUAAUGGCAAACCUGAAAUAAUUCUGGUAUGUAUAGAACUUUGAUGCUUUCAGUACUCUGAAAUGCAAAUUACAUUCUUUUUGGUAUAAAUUUUCUCUAUAAUAGAUCAACUUUAUAAAUUUAAAAUUCUAAUUACCAUCUUAACAAUGUGGCAUGAAAAAAGAGUAAAAUUUCCUGGUAUUCUUAUUUUACAGAGCAUAAGGUUAAUGAUACAUGUGGCUUUCUUUUAGGAAACUUUCUAAUAUAAUAUUCUGAAAAUCCAUGUUCUUUUGUUGGCUUGUUAUUAAGCCAAACAUUUAUGGAAUAUUUUCCCUUUAGCUCUCUAUGGCUUUUUAUAAGUUAAAAAUCCCUUUACAGUUUUAUUUUGAAACACUAUUAAUGUAAACAUUUCAAUGACUUUUUUCCUCUCAAAUCAAUAUCAGUUAUUUCACUGGCAAAAGGUAGAAGCUAGCUAUUCUCAAAUCCCAAAGCAUUAAUCAAGUAGCUGAAAAACAUUUUGAUGGACAAAGACCACACUGAGGACCAAUGCUCUUGGUACAUAUUAUCCCUUUUUGUGCAUCUAAAUCAAGUACAAGUAGAGUUGUCAAAGGGAAUAGCAGAUCUCAUGAGAAAACUGAGGGAAAAAUUAGGUAACUUAAUGAAAUCUGAUUGCCUAGUGAAACAAAAGCUCUACCAUGACAAAACAGAAAAGCCAUGAGCUAGUGUACUGUGAAAAACAAAAUACCAUCUUCUAUGUUACGGAAAAAAUUGUUAUCACUAUUUCAUUAGAAGGUAUAUGGGUUUAUGAUUUCUGCGAUUAAAAAAUUAGUGUUUCUGAGAGUUAAUUUGAAUACCACCUUAAAAAGAAAUCAUCUUUAUAUUAAUAUGUACCAAGUAUAAUAAAA